UUGAAGACCAUUUCUACUUGUAAUACGAUCCAUUCAUUUCCAAGAAUAAAAAGUUAUAUGAAUGGCUUAUCUUAUGCAACUGAAGGUUCCUGCUUUGAGGAGCAUAUCUUAGGCAGCUGAAGGCUUCCAUUUUGGAAUGUAGAAAGCUGAACUGGUCAAUGUUAAUUUUCUUCUAAUUCAGAUUAUAGAACCACAUGAGAAGCACACAAAGCCAGUUUCCUGGGAUGGCUCUGCCCCUCCAGAUUUUAACAUUGAGAGGGAACCUAAAGACAAUUCGGGAUUAAGGAGGAAGGGUCAGAUCAAGGUAAAGAAUUUGACAUGUUUCAUAUUGAGUUCUCCAAUGAAAAUAUUAAAUCCAAGUCCUCUUUUGGCGAAAAAAAUGAUUCACGUGAUGCUGAGCUGUAAUAAUAUUUACUUGGGAUGUUUUCAUUGGAGGACUUGAUAACAAAACAUGUAGAAAUUGCUUAGAGAUUUUCCGGGAAAAGGAACUUAUGCAGCACACUGGGUGCUUACAAACUGAGGAAACUCAAACACACAAGGUGGCAAACUGGGUCGGCAGAACUGCCUUUUUUUAGCAUCCAAAGCAGAUCCAUGUUCUCUCAGUGCAGAUGCUGGAUCGGCUCCAUUGUUGUGUGAAUCAGAACAAUAUCUGCGUUUUUUAUUUGCAUUGCAAGAUCAAUUCCAUGUAAAAUGCCGAAUUAUUAAUUUUCCUUUCCUUGGGUAGGUGAAGGAAUCAAGUUUUCAAUCCAACACAUUUUGGAUAUUUUUUUUCCACGUCUCUCUACUAGAUUCAUUGAUGCCUUGUGGCCUUCCAAAAUGUUGAAUUCUCAGUGUUGACAAUAAAUAAGUUCUUUUACAUUA